rnacentral:lncRNA from 1 species
AUGGGCAAGAGCGAUCCAUUUCCUCACAAGGAGGGGAAGAGAGCAGGGUCAUACGUGAGCAUGGAUACCAGGAGGAGGAUGAUUGGGGGCCAUCUUAAAGGCUGCUCACCACACUGGGGGAUGAUGCCCUGUGGACUAGGGCACCUUCUAAUUUUCCAGAGUUCCAGGCUGUGCCCAUUGGCCCGGGCUGGGGACUCUCUGAGCCAGAACCAUCAGCUUCCAGAAGGGGGGCAGGCUGUAGACCCAUCAUCAGCCCCAGAUCUGGAUGAAGCCAGGAGUGACCGAGACCCAAGGUGGAAGAGCCCUGCUACGCCUGCAGGGCCCACAUGCGGUUGCUUACAAGAGCUGAACCCCACCACCGGCAGUAGCUUUGGGGAUCUAGGAGGCUCUGAGUUCAAGGACUUGGCCCAGAGGGAAGAGAGGAGACAAGCAGCACCUACAACCCAGAGGCCAUCCACUAGCCUAUGGGGGAGGAAGCUCGCUCAGGGAGCCCCGAGGCCCUCAGGCCUGCCCUCCCAGGGCCUGUCAGAACCCCACGAUCCCCCCGAGGGGCUGAGCUGGAGCCUGGGCCAGGAGAGAGCAGAACUUCAGAAACUGCUGAGGCUAGGGAUUCCUCAGAGGCAGAGAGAGGAGGCUCCUCAAGAGCAGAAAGAGCGCCCCGGGGUUCAGAGGGGGGAGGUCCGCAGGGGGGAGAGCAAGGAAGUUCCUAAGAGACCCACAGAGAAGAUACAGCAGGGCCAGAGGGGGGAGGCUACUCAGGCUCUGAGGGAGGAAGUCUCUGUGGAUCCCAGGGGGCAGGCUCCCGAGGGUGAGAGGAGAGAGUCUCCUCAACGUCAAAGAGGAAACAGCCCUGAGGGGCAGAGAAAAGAGGUCCUCCGGGAGCCGAGGAAGGAGACUCCUCAGGGCCGGGAAGGGAAGAGCCCUCAAACUUCCCCAGCCUGCCUCUCACAAGCCUGGGAGGUGCCUCAGGGAGAGGCGCCUGCAGAGCCCCCGGCGGAAGGCGGCUCCCUGGGGAUUUCUGGGGAUUUCUGCAGGCCCCUGGGAGAACAGAUGCCGCAGCCUGGGGGAAGGGAGAGCCCUGGCUCCGGGGAAAGGACCACC